UAGUACAAUGGAUUAGCGCGUUUGACUUCGGAUCAAAAGGUCAUGGGUUCGACUCCCACU
rnacentral:tRNA from 1 species